rnacentral:rRNA from 1 species
GACGAACCGUGCGAACGUUAUUCGGAAUCACUGGGCUUAAAGCGCGUGUAGGCGGGCCGGCCCGUCGGCCGCUGAAAUCCCCCGGCUCAACCGGGGAAGCGGCGCCGAUACGACCGGCCUGGAGGGGAGUAGGGGGGCCUGGAACUUCCGGUGGAGCGGUGAAAUGCGUUGAGAUCGGAAGGAACGCCCGUGGCGAAAGCGAGGUCCUGGACCCUUUCUGACGCUGAGACGCGAAAGCCAGGGGAGCGAACGGG